rnacentral:rRNA from 1 species
GAUGAACGCUAGCUACAGGCUUAACACAUGCAAGUCGAGGGGAAACGAUAUUGGAAGCUUGCUUCCGAUAGGCGUCGACCGGCGCACGGGUGAGUAACGCGUAUCCAACCUUCCGUACACUCAGGGAUAGCCUUUCGAAAGAAAGAUUAAUACCUGAUGGUAUGAUGAGAUUGCAUGAUAGCAUCAUUAAAGAUUUAUCGGUGUACGAUGGGGAUGCGUUCCAUUAGGUAGUAGGCGGGGUAACGGCCCACCUAGCCUGCGAUGGAUAGGGGUUCUGAGAGGAAGGUCCCCCACAUUGGAACUGAGACACGGUCCAAACUCCUACGGGAGGCAGCAGUGAGGAAUAUUGGUCAAUGGACGAGAGUCUGAACCAGCCAAGUAGCGUGCAGGAUGACGGCCCUAUGGGUUGUAAACUGCUUUUAUAAGGGAAUAAAGUGAGUCUCGUGAGACUUUUUGCAUGUACCUUAUGAAU